rnacentral:rRNA from 1 species
AGUGAACGCUGGCGGUAGGCCUAACACAUGCAAGUCGAACGGCAGCACAGUAAGAGCUUGCUCUUACGGGUGGCGAGUGGCGGACGGGUGAGGAAUACAUCGGAAUCUACUUUUUCGUGGGGGAUAACGUAGGGAAACUUACGCUAAUACCGCAUACGACCUACGGGUGAAAGCAGGGGAUCUUCGGACCUUGCGCGAUUGAAUGAGCCGAUGUCGGAUUAGCUAGUUGGCGGGGUAAGGGCCCACCAAGGCGACGAUCCGUAGCUGGUCUGAGAGGAUGAUCAGCCACACUGGAACUGAGACACGGUCCAGACUCCUACGGGAGGCAGCAGUGGGGAAUAUUGGACAGUGGGCGCAAGCCUGAUCCAGCCAUACCGCGUGGGUGAAGAAGGCCUUCGGGUUGUAAAGCCCUUUUGUUGGGAAAGAAAAGCAGCAGGUUAAUACCCCGCUGUUCUGACGGUACCCAAAGAAUAAGCACCGGCUAACUUCGUG